AUGACCCACCAAUCACAUGCCUAUCAUAUAGUAAAACCCAGCCCAUGGCCCCUAACAGGGGCCCUCUCAGCCCUCCUAAUGACCUCCGGCCUAGCCAUGUGAUUUCACUUCCACUCCACAACCCUCCUCAUACUAGGCCUACUAACCAACACACUAACCAUAUACCAAUGAUGGCGCGAUGUAACACGAGAAAGCACAUACCAAGGCCACCACACACCACCUGUCCAGAAAGGCCUUCGAUACGGGAUAAUCCUAUUUAUUACCUCAGAAGUUUUUUUCUUCGCAGGAUUUUUCUGAGCCUUUUACCACUCCAGCCUAGCUCCCACCCCCCAACUAGGGGGACACUGGCCCCCAACAGGCAUCACCCCGCUAAAUCCCCUAGAAGUCCCACUCCUAAACACAUCCGUAUUACUCGCAUCAGGGGUAUCAAUCACCUGAGCUCACCAUAGUCUAAUAGAAAACAACCGAAACCAAAUAAUUCAAGCACUGCUUAUUACAAUUUUACUGGGUCUCUAUUUUACCCUCCUACAAGCCUCAGAGUACUUCG
rnacentral:lncRNA from 1 species